CCAAUAGCGUAUAUUUAAGUUGUUGCAGUUAAAAAGCUCGUAGUUGAAUUUCGGGAUCAGUUGAUCGGUCGUGCCUCGGUACGUACUGGUCAAAUUGAUUCCUACCUUCUGACGAACCACGAUGUCAUUAAUUUGGUGUCGUGGGAAAUCAGGACUGUUACUUUGAAAAAAUUAGAGUGUUUAAAGCAGGCUCGCGCUUGAAUACAUUAGCAUGGAAUAAUGAAAUAGGACGUUUGAUUCUAUUUUGUUGGUUUCUAGGAUCGACGUAAUGAUUAAUAGGGAUAGUUGGGGGCAUUAGUAUUCAAUUGUCAGAGGUGAAAUUCUUGGAUUUAUUGAAGACUAACUACUGCGAAAGCAUUUGCCAAGGAUGUUUUCAUUAAUCAAGAACGAAAGUUAGGGGAUCGAAGACGAUCAGAUACCGUCGUAGUCUUAACCAUAAACUAUGCCGACUAGGGAUCGGAUGAUGUUAAUUUUUUAAUGACUCAUUCGGCGCCUUACG
rnacentral:misc_RNA from 1 species